rnacentral:rRNA from 1 species
UACGGGGGAAAGGGGGGGAUCGCAAGACCUCUCACUAUUGGAGCGGCCGAUAUCAGAUUAGCUAGUUGGUGGGGUAAAGGCCUACCAAGGCAACGAUCUGUAGCUGGUUUGAGAGGACGACCAGCCACACUGGGACUGAGACACGGCCCAGACUCCUACGGGAGGCAGCAGUGGGGAAUUUUGGACAAUGGGGGCAACCCUGAUCCAGCCAUCCCGCGUGUGCGAUGAAGGCCUUCGGGUUGUAAAGCACUUUUGGCAGGGAAGAAACGGCGCUGGUUAAUACCUGGCGCAACUGACGGUACCUGCAGAAUAAGCACCGGCUAACUACGUGCCAGCAGCCGCGGUAAUACGUAGGGUGCAAGCGUUAAUCGGAAUUACUGGGCGUAAAGCGUGCGCAGGCGGUUCGGAAAGAAAGAUGUGAAAUCCCAGAGCUUAACUUUGGAACUGCAUUUUUAACUCCCGAACUAGAGUAUGUCAGAGGGGGGUAGAAUUCCACGUGUAGCAGUGAAAUGCGUAGAGAUGUGGAGGAAUACCGAUGGCGAAGGCAGCCCCC